UACAAUAAUAUAUUCUAAUAUACUCUUUCUUACUUAACGAACGAAGGAAAAAUUUAUUCGAGCUUAAAGGUCAUAAAAAAUCAUUCCUCAAGAUACGAUCAUCAUCGUCGAAAAUCGAUUCUUUCUUAUACACUUUCAUAAAGAAAAAAGAAAUAAAUAAAUAAAUAAAUAAAUAAAUAAAUAAAUAAAUAAAAUUAAAAGAACAGGUGUUUUUUGGCAGCGUACCAAUAAAGAGAAAGUAAGACUUUCUUCAAAGAAGUUUUAAGAAGAGAAAGUCAAUCUUUAUAUAAAUCCAUCAAUUUUCAUUGAAAUUUGGUAUGAACAAAUACAUAUAACGUUCGUUAAAAAUAUUAUUAUAAUAUGAAUUAAAAUGUUCUGACAUACGAGACGUCUGUCUAAAUAGUUUCUUCGAAGAUCGUUCAAAGUUGAUCCUUAAAAAAAAUUUAUCUCGAUACCGAUCGAUAUUGAAGGUGAAUAAAUUUCAUUUAGAAAAGUUCAAGAAGAGAAAGCAAGGAAGCAAUCGUCUCUGGUGGAUACUGUACGCUAGCUGAUCGUAUGACCCUGUCCCGUUAGUGUUAGCCCGUGAAGUUCACGGCCAAAAACACAUGGGGUCGCUGAGUCCUGCAGUUGCUGAAUCCAAGCGAUAACGUCCUAAGUUCUAUAUAUAGAACGCAUAUCUUUCUCUCUCUCUCUCUCUCUUUCUCACGUACACACACACGCACACACACACACACCUUCGUUCUCUGGCUAUCCUCUCUACCAUCGCAAUACUUAUAACGCAGAAACGAUAUAAGUCACUCGGCCGAGCGACACCGGUAGUCGCGUGUAGUGCAAUGACGAGAGCGUUCUCGUUAAAACGAUCUUAAACGACUUUGGGACGUGACGCGAUAGACGAAGAAAACGAAAGACAGAGACAGAUGUAGAGAGAAAUGAUUGAGAUGUUCCGUGGUGGAGAUCAAGACGAAAGAUAAGUACGUAGUGGCCUGAGUUACGUUCACGUCGAAAGCUAUCUUCUCUGGUCUUUAAAGAAGCAGAAGAUAGAAUUUCUAGGUGGGGGGUUGGAAAAAAGAUUUCCUAUUAACGUUUCGGUGAAAUUGAAGAAACGAAGAUGGACAGUCUAAAGCCACCAAGUUCGAUAAACAACAACAACAACAACAACAGUAAUAAUAAUAAUAAUAAUAACGAAGGAAGACGAAGACUCUACUCCAUGUCUUGCUUGAACGAUCGUCCCAACGGUGAAGAUCCUUUGUCCGUGAGAUUGGCUUCGACUUAUAGGUCAGCAAGAUAUGGACACGUUAACGACUAUUGUCCUGAACAGAUCGUUGUGCUAGAAGAGGACUUAACGGCUAAUUCAACGAAUAAACACGUCGAGAUCGACGCAGGUGAACCACCGCCAGCCGACGAAUCUCUUUUCUUCGAUAAUUUGGAAGCUCUGAGGAAUGCGUUACGCGUAGAUGGUAGCAACAUAAGGUCAGUCUUCUGGUCUAUACUCGGUGUUACCGAGAUCAAAUUGUUAUUGGAAAUGGAAAAGAACGGUAUCGUGCCACCGGAAAUAUCAUUGAGCGAACAUCUGAAGAAUCUUUCUUAUAUCUGGGCAUGUCAUCGUGGCCUUUCUCAUCUUUUACCCAAACUCGAAGAAUUGGGCGCGGAUAUUAAUUAUGUCGAGCCCUGCACCGGGAUGAACGCUAUCCUAACAGCUUCCUUGAGUGGAAACGUGUCCUGUUUGGAACAUCUUAUCGGGAAAGGUGUCGAUGUUAAUUGUGAAAAUCCAACGAAUCAUUACACGUCCCUUCACUUUGCGGCUUCGGGAAAAUCGAGAGAAACGACCGUUCUACUUUUGGACAGCGGCGCCAAGUUAAACACUUGUGCUUACGAGGAAAUAGUCGAACCGGUACUUCACUGUGCCAUUCGAGCAAGAGCCAUAGACGUGGUGAAGGUACUCCUGGAACGGGGCGCUAGCGUUGUCGAAAAGAAUCAUCUUGGAGAGACACCCCUUCAUGUUGCUUGCUUCGUCCAAUCGAUACCCUGCGUCGAGCUAUUGCUAACUGUACCAGGUAGUAACAUUAAUGCCGUAGAUCGUACGCAUAGAACGCCAUUACAUUUUGCCGUUAUGAGUACAGAUUCUUCGGCAGUGUUGGUCGAACUUUUAUUGAAGCACGGUGCCUUGGUCAAUGCGGCGGAUCGAACGGGCUUCACACCUCUUCAUAUAGCCGCUUUGAACGAACAGUCCCAUUGCGUCGAUACUUUGAUUUGGGCCGGAGCUGACGUCAGUGCUACCACCAGUGCAGGCUUAUCAGCUUUGAACAUCAUAUUAAGAAAAAUACCCGAGUCCUUGCAGGUCUUUCGAGAAAGACUCGACGCAUCCAUCAGACUUAGACGUCCUGUACCACAUAACAGAGAAUUCGAAAUGAGAUUACACUUUGACCUACUCUUUCCUAGCAACAAUCAAUGCGAAACCAGUUUCAUCAAUACUUUCGUACAAGAACGUCGAAAAGAUCUGCUAUCUCAUCCAUUGGUCAUGGCUUUUCUUCAUCUCAAAUGGGAGAAGAUAAGAAAGUUUUAUUUAAUGAGGAUCUUCCUUUAUGCCAUGACUGUGAUCUGUAUGACUACUUAUGUACUAACGGCACUCGCAUACAAAUGUUACAAUCACGAUGAUUUUCCAAGUUCAAAGAUCUGCAACAGUAAACGAAUUUCAGGCUUUCUAUUCAGAAGACCAGUCAUUGAAAUCGAAUGGUACCUCUGUCUCGUACUGACCUGUGUCACCAUACCCAGAAAGAUAUUUGGUUUUAUGGUCUAUAAAUCAGUGAAACAAUAUUUCUCGAACAUAGAUAACGUCCUCGAUGGUAUAGUUAUAGUAAGCGUUUUCGUAACGUCAUUUGUUUACACAGGAAAGACGUACGAUUGGCAAAAUUAUGUCGGUGCAUUCGCCAUACUUUGUGCCUGGACAAAUCUGAUGCUGAUGGUUGGACAGUUACCUGCUUUUGGAACUUACGUUGCUAUGUUCACCCACAUACAAUUUGAAUUCGCAAAACUUUUAUUGGCCUAUUCUGGAUUACUGAUAGGAUUCACUAUUAGCUUUUGCGUUAUUUUCGUUGGUGAACCAGCCUUUGGUAAUCCUUUUACCGGACUUAUCAAGGUGUUAGCAAUGAUGGCCGGCGAAUUGGACUUUGAGGGUCUUAUUAAUCAAGCGGAUCAAGUUGCCGACGGUCCUUUCGUGAUUUAUCAUCCGCUAUCUGUCUGUUCACAAAUUCUCUUCACUCUCUUCAUCGUUUUUGUAACGGUGAUAUUAAUGAACUUAUUAGUUGGCAUCGCCGUACAUGAUAUUAAUGGUUUAAGGAAUCACGCAGGACUUACCAAGUUGGUACGUCAAACUAAAUUAAUUCUAUUUACUGAAAUGGUACUGCAUAAUGCUUCUAUACCAUAUACCUUUCGAAAAUGGAUGACCAAUCAUAAAAUAGACGUUGAAAAUCGCAAACACGUUCUCGUUGUAAAACCAUUAAAUCCUUUGGAGAAACGAUUGCCUAAGGAUAUUUUAAAAGCUGCUUACGAGAUUGCACAAAAGAACAUGCCAUAUAUCAAUGAUGACAAUAUUAGCCUUAGCGACCACGUAACCUGGAUGAAACAACAAAGCGAAGAAUCCUCCGAGUCUGGCUUGAGAUUGGCUGUCGAAGAAUUAUCAGCAAGAUUGAAUGCAAAUGAAGAAACUAUAAAGUCGCUUAAAACACAAUUAUUACAUACGAAUGAUAUAUUGGAGGAUAUUGUUAAUCGUUUGGCGAAGGACAAGAGUAUAUGAGUUGGGCAAAGUGUACGUGAACAUGAAUAAACAAUAAUAUCUAUAUAAAUGGAUAUAUAUAAAUUACAUAUAUAUGGAUUAUUGUCACACCUAUUUGCCUUUUAUCAAUAGAAAAGAAACAAACAAAAAAAACUCACUUAAUGUAUUAUAAAGACUGAUAUAUAAGGGACCAAUCUCAAGAUGAUUGAUUUGAUAGAAUAUACAUUGAUGAAAAUUUAAUUUUUCAUUUCUUUCGCCAGGAAAAUCUUCGGAUAAUCUGUAAUGAUGACGUUUCUUGCGAACAAAUAUUAUAACGAUUAGGUAUAAAUAUAAUAUUUCCAUUAAUUUUUACGAAUAUGGUUGAAAAAGUUGACAUCGAAGCCACUGUUGAAAAUGGAGGACCUACUGGACAGUCAGGCGCGAUAAGGUGGGGCAUUUCGUGGUGUCUCCGAAGUUUCGUUACUCCUGAGG